ACAAGCCUCUCUCCUCCCUCUCCUCCUUUCUUCCUGCUCCUUCCUGCCUCCCCCCCCCACUUCCCCUCUUUCUCCUCCUCCUCCUUUUUUUUUGCUAGUACUUAAGGUUUUCACCUCUUUACCCAAAGGGUCAGUUUUUGAGCUGUGCCUUCUCCACGUCCCCACCUUUGAUUCUGGGAUCAGCUGGCAUGGCUUGCUCGGGAUCAGAAUUCUGCGAUCGGCUUUAAGUCACGGACGCAUGAUGACUUCAGGUUCAGUGAUGCUGGCUUUCAGCAGUGAUCCUCCCAGUGCGGUUCCCGGCCGACGGCAUCAGCUCCAACCAAGAGCCGGUUAGAGAUGCAAGCUCCAGGCUGCGUGCAAACCAGCCGAACCAGCAGCUCCGGUCUGCGCCAAGCCCUCUGCUGUCAUAAGCCCACCGGGUGGGUCUGACACUUGCUCGGACACCCUGGCUUUUGUGAGACCCGUGGGGAAGUCUGAGGCCCAGAGGAGAGGUGGGUAAGUUGCUCUAAAAGAGACAAAGUAGCCCCACCUGGUCUGUGAGGGCGGAAGGGCAGCGCUCAGGAGGGGAGAGCUUCCCGGGAGAGCGGCGGACCCUGGAGGCAGCCUGCGACCACAGGCGAUUCCAGGGCAGGAUCGUGGGGCCCCAGGAGCUGCUGGGACAGCGCCAGCCAAGAGUGAGGAGCACCGCUGAGGCCACGCCCCGCGACCCCUGCGGAACAGCGGGACCUGCCCACCAGUCAAGGACCCUGCAGGGCAGAGCAGGGAGCAGAGACCACGAGCUGCCCUGACAGAGAAGCCAUGUCGUCUGAGGCCCGGACUCCAGAUUGUUGUGAGUCAAAGAACCUAAGGGACGAAAAUAAUCAUAACUCAGGGCCUGCACUGGCGUCUGGAAAUACUCGAAAUGGGCUCUCCGGGGGCUCUGGAGGCACGGUGGUGCUGGAACUUGAAAGGGCAGCAGCAUUAGCUGGAGGGCUCCUUCACACAGAUCCCCGGCCCCAUACCCAGUCUGGGGUGGGGCCCGAGAACCUGCAUUUCUAACGCAGUCCCCUUGCUGCUGGUCUGGGGGCCACAGUCUGAGACCCUCCACUCUAGAUGGUGGGGUUUGGUCUGUUGCAGAGUGCACAAUUUUUAAAAAAAUCAUCUAAGCUCCUAAUAAAAUGUUCCUGUACUAAAUGACAGGCACCAUCCUGUGUAACACGUAGCACACCCACAUAGGCGUGAGGAGUGAGCCCUUCUCUCUCAGGAGCCCUGCUACUGAGAGCCAGGAUUUGCCGGAAGCCAUCAGUGGGGCUCACCUGGUCCAAUUGGUGCCUAGUGCCUGGAGCUUUGUAAAGGCAGCAAAAGAGUUUGUUGAGAAUGUCCUGUUCUCUAGCUCCAAGAUACAAUUAGAAUCAGUUGAUGAUCGUUAUUUAAAAUAUGGCUGCCUGUGUGUAGGUGGUAAUCAAAUACCCCAGCAGGCUCUGACGCUGACUUCCUGCCCCUUAGCACAUCGAGUUACAGAAGUUGUGCUGUUCUGCCCUGUUCAGGUCUCUCCUCUACUCUUGUAUUUUAUUUUUGGGGGAUUGAGGCCAGGACCUCAUGCAUGCUAAGCACGAGCUCUACCUCUGAACUGUGCCUUCCCUCCUCCUCUACUCUUUUAAAUAGUCCUCGUCGUCGUCUGUGUCUCAAGCUUGCUUUCCGUAGAGGUCUGCUGGGGGCGGCGCCUUAUUUUUCUCGCCAGGUGGAGAUGUGCUCAUCACGAUGGCUGUCACUGAAAGUGCUCUUAAGAAAGCUCUUCUGUUUCAGGACUGCAAGCUUGCAAACUGCAUUUUCAGCCUUCGCUGCCAGCUGAAUUCCACUUAAGUCUGCCAACUGGAGGCAUUCACAGAAACCAGCAAGAGUGAAAAGACAGAAGCUGUUCUGUUUCUGGCAGGCCCUUUAUCAGCGCCAAUGCCAUGCACUCCAGCUCAGUGAUAGCAGAGGGUGAUUGUCAGCUCCCACAAUCGUGCCAACAGUUCCAACACCACCAGCA